UAUUUUAUUAAAACACUGGUAUUCAUUCACUAUCAUUUAGAUUGUAUCACUAAACAAUCAUUUUGAAAAUUUUAGAAAAACUUAUGGAAAAUAUAUAUAAAAAUAAUUUUAGUUUUUUAUCUUUCAUAUUUACCGCAAUUAUAUUUUUAUUAAGUAUACUCAAUUUGGUAUAAUUUCAAUGCAAUUAUAUCUUAAUUUUUAAUACUUUAGAUCAGUGCAACUUAAUACAGUUAUAUGUCGCUUUGUGACAGAUAUGUCCUAAGAAAUGCAUUGUGAGGCAAUUCCAUCAUUGCACAAACAUUAUGGAGUGUACUUACAUAAACCUUGAGUGUAGUCUACUGCACACCUGGGCAAUAUGGUAUAGCGUAUUGCUCCUAGGCUGCCAACCUGCACAGCAUGUUAUUGUACUGAACAAUGUAGGCAAUGUAACGCAAUGAUAUUUGUGUAUCUAAACAUACCUAAAUGCAGAAAUGCUGCAGUAGAUAUACAACAUAAAAGAUUGUUUUUAAGUCCACCUGUAGAAGGCACUUACCAUGAAUUGAACUUGCAGGCUUGGAAAUAUCUCUGGGUGAGUCAGUGAGUGAGUGGUGAGUGAGUGUGAAGGUCUAGGACAUUACUGUAUUCUACUCUAUGCUUUAUAAAUACUGUCCAUUAGAAGACACUAAAUUUAUUUUAAAAUACUUUUAUUUCUUCAGUAACAAAUUAACCUUACCUUACUCUCUUUUACUUUAUAAACUUUUAAAUUUUUUUAAAACGUUUUGACUAUUUAGUAAUGACACUUGGCUUAAAACACAAACAUUGUAGAGCGGAACAAAAAUAUUUUAUUUCUUUAUAUCCUUACUUUAUAAGCUUUUCUCUAUUUUUGAAAUUUUUAAUUUUUACUUCUUAAACUUUUUUGUUAAAAACGAAGACACAAAUACACACAUUAGCCUAGGCCUACACGGGGUCAGAAUCAUCAGGAUCACUGUCUUCCGCCUCCCCUCCUGUCCCACUGGAAGGUCUUCAGGGGCAAUAACAAGCGUGGAGCUUCAUUUCCUCUGAUAACAAUGCCUUCUUCUCGAAUCCUUCCUGGAGGACCUGUCUGAGGAUGUUUUCCAGCUAGCUUUUUUUUCAUAAGUAGAAAGAGUACACUAAAAUAACAGCAAAAAGUAUAGUAGAUACAUAAACCAGUACCAUAGUCAUUUAUUAUCAAGUAUUAUGUACUAUACAUAACUGGAUGUGCUAUACUUUUAUUAUACAACUGGCAGAGCAGUCAAUUUGUUUACCCCAGCAUAACCACAUACAUGUAAGUAAUGCAUUACACUAUGAUGUUACCAUGGCUACACUAUCACUAGGUAAUAGGAAUUUUUCAGCUCUAUUAGAAUCCGAUGGGACCACCAUUGUAUAUGUGGUCUGCCAUUGGCUGAAGCAUCAUUAUUUGGUGCAUGACUGUAGAACUUUAAGCAAUGAUGAAAAUGCUCUAUAUCCACACUAUCCAAUAUGGUAACCACUAGCCACUUGUGACUACUGAGUGUCUGAAAGGUUCUGCUUGAAUUCUUGCCCUGGCUCUUGGUGAAGGAUCGGCCUGCUGGAUCUGAGUCAUCCACCUAUAAGAGGGACAACACCACACAUUGGUCGCUGCUCUCAAGCCCCUGGAAUACCACCCCACUUGGCUUCUCCUGGUAACAGUGGCUGCCUUUGCUUGCCUGUCUCCAACUCCUCCCAAGAGCAUUGCUGACUGUGAGCUGUACCUUUGAAUCUGCAGGGGCCCUUCCCAUCUGUCUAAUAUUUGCUAUCAGUGAAACAGAAAAACCCUUGGGACACUGUCAGGGAGCAUUCUGGCCCGCAAAAUGCCUACCAACCACCAUGCCGUUCUCAUUCUUGCCAUUAGCAACCUUCUCUUUCUCUACAUCAUCAGCGUCCUAUGUGCACUCAUUCUAGAGGGCCAAUAAUUCUCACAGAUUACCAGUGUAGACUUAAAUUAUUUUUAUUAUAAUAUCACAGUACAAGUAAAAAGUAUAUGGCUGUGGUUUUUGUUCAGUUAUAAAGUUCAAAUAAACUUUCUAGAUUAAAUACAAACAAACUACAACACUGAUCAAAAUAAAAGCAGCAACAUUAAUUUAAUGUGGCAAUGUCUUGUGGAAAGCAAAUUGCCAGUGUUGAAACAGUAGAAAGUUCUUAAUGUUGGUUUUUUACUGGUUGUAUUUCCGCAUUUUAAAUUUAGUAACACUUAACACAGAGAAUGCUGUAUAUAAAAUCAUAUAUAUAUAUAUACAUACAAAAUCAUGGUCCACUGCAGCCUUGAACUCCUGAGCUCAAGUGAUCCUCCUGCCUCAGCCUUUGGAGUAGCUGGGACUACAGGCACAUGCCACCACACUCAGCUAAUUUUUAAAAUUUUUUUGUAGAGAUGGGCUCUCACUAUAGCCCUGUUCUGGAACUCCUGGGCUCAAGCCAUCCUCCCACUUUGGCCUCCCCAAAAUGCUGGGAUUACAGGCGUGAACCACCGCAUCUAGCCUAAAAUUAUAUUGUUAAAAGACUUUGUUUCUCAGUUUGGGAUAAUCAGAAUUCAUAGUUCUGAUCUCGACUACCAGUUUUAAUGAGGUACUUCUUUCUAACUCCAUCAGCUGUGUGGCUAUCUGCAGGUAAGGACUAUGUUACAACAUUAUCUAAAUUGGGCAUCUAAUUAUCUAAAUUAUCUAAAUAUCUAAAAUGGGCAUAUAAAAUGGGCAUUUAAUUCCAUUAGAUAUCUGGACUUAGAAAUGGAAAAAUUUUUAAUUGAAUAUUUUUAAAUAUCCCUACUGCUAAUAAGUUGGGAGCCAUGAAAUAAGCUCCUCCUCUUCCAUGAAUGUGGUCUUGGCCACAGCCCAGUUUUUUAUCAGUUCAGUCUCCUUGUACUUCCAUGCACUUUCCUAUUUGCACUGCUUCCAAAUGUGAUACCCACAGAGCCAGACACCAUGUCACGUGGGCCUUUAGGCAUGUGGCACUGUUCAAACUGGGAGGUGACCUGCAGUGUGUUUGUACACACGUAUUUUAGUUUAUCAUAAAGAUGAUUACACAAAAUUUAUAAAUUCUCAGGAAACCUCAAAGUAUCCUUAGAUAAGUGGUUCUCAAAGUGUGGUCUGUGGAUCCCUUGGGGUUCCUGAGUCCUGCUACUGGGGUCUACGUGGUUUGCAAUAAAACCAAGAUGUUAUUUGCCUUUUUCAUCCUGUUGACAUUUGCACUGAAGGUGCAAAAGCAAUAGUGGGUGUUUUAGUUUUUUCAGGUUGCUAUAACAAAAUACCUUAGAUCAAGUAAUUUAUAAACAACAAAAAUGUAUGGCUCACAGUUGCUUUGCAGUUAAUCUGAAGUACAAGAUGAAGGCUCUGGCAGAGUCCAUGUCUGCUGAGAGCCCAUUCCCCAAGGACGGAAACUUUGAGCUGUGCCCUCCCAUGGCAGAAGGGGCAAAGCAGCUCUCUUCAACCUCUUUUAUAAGGGUGGUGAAUAUGAAUUCUAUUCAUGAAGUGGGCAGUUCUUAUGGCUUACUGAUUUCCUGAAGUACCCAACUCUUAAUACUAUCACAUGGAAUAUUAGGUUUCAACAUAUGAAUUUUGGGGGGACACCAAUGUUCAGACCAUAGCAAUGGGUGAAACUGCUGGAAUCUGAACACAGCACCAAACUGUUACAGAAGGCAUUAUGUUCUUCGUCAUCAUGCAUUUUCUGCAAAGAAAAAAAAAAGCCAUCUCAGCACUUUGGGAGGCUGAGGCGGAAGGAUCACGAGGUCAGGAGUUGGAGAGCAGCCUGACCAACAUGGUGAAACCCCGCCUCUAUUAAAAAUACAAAAAUUAGCCGGGCUUAGUGGCACCUGCCUGUAAUCCCAGCUACUAGGGAGGCUGAGGCAAGAGAAUCGCUUGAACCUGGAAGGCGGAGGUUGCAGUGAGCCGAGAUCGCCCCACUGCACUCCAGCCUGGGCGACAGGUCAAGACUCAAUCUUAAAAAAAAAAAAAAAAAAAAAAAAAAAAAAGCCAAUUUUAUUUAAUGUCCAUGAUGAAGCAGAAAAAAAAUACACAACUUUAUAAUAUUCUAAGCGACAAAAUGGGAAUUACAUGCAAAGCACUUCUGCUGCAUACUAAAGUAAGAUAUUGUCUUGAGGACAAUCACUUAUGAGAUUGAGUUACAGAGCUAAACCAGCUGCUUUUUUCCAUUGAAUACCAUAUUUACUCUUAAGAACGAUUAGCACACACGAUGGUUGCUCAGACUUAGGGGUUUGGCGCACAGUUUUCCCAGAGAUGCGUUAGUGAGCCCAAUAGUUUAGGGAAAACAACUCGCAAUAUUUUUAGCAAAUGAUAAAAUGCAGGUUUUCAAGUAAAAAUUAGAAAACCUAUAUCCAUAAGUUUAAUAGUUUCUAAAUAUUUAAAAACUUUUCUGAUAAGAUGUUAGGGAUAUUAAUGAAUUUAUCUUUUUUAUAUACUGUAAUGAAAUGUGUCACUAUUUGGAAGAUUUAUGUAACGCAGUAAACCAAUAUUUUCCUGUUGACCAAUGCAUAUUGUUACAAAACCAUGCAUAGUAAAAGAUCUAUUCAAAGUUCAGGAGAGACAAAUGGAUUUUAAUGUAACAGAGUAUGAGAAGUUUAUUGGCAUGGUUUCAGACUCUGUUGUAAUUAACUUUAAAGAAACUAUCAUUUGUCAAAUUUUGAAGAAGUGUUAAGAAAUAUCCACAAUUACCUGAAAAGGCUUUUAAAAUACUCUUAUUUUUAACCUACUACAUAUCUACGUGAGGCCAGAUUUUCCUUGUAUAUUUCAACUAACCAACAUAUUUCACAGAUUGAAUGCAGAGGCAGAUAUAAGAAUCCAGGUGUCUUUGAUUCAAGCCACACAUUAAUGAGAUUUGUAAAAAUAUAAAACACUGUCAUUCUUAUGAAGUUUUUGAUUUAGUAAAAAUUCAGGGUUUUUUUGGUAAAAUAUGUUAUUUAUUAUAAAAUAUAAUGGGCUUUUAUUAUGACUAAAUUCAUCCAUUAUUUGAUAACCUCAACAGAUAUCAAAUAAUAUUAUGUAUUUAAUAAAUCAAUUAAUAAAUUAAAUAAAUUACUAAAUGUUAAUUAAUUUAAUUAAUAAAUAUUUUAGUUUCCCUUAGUUUUAAUUGCUAAUAUGAGAAUAUCAAUAGAUACAGCUUAAGUGGAAGCUGAAUUCCUAGACACACCAAAUGUCUACAGUCAAUGUCAUGGCCCUAAUUGGCAUAAACAAAGAUUGUGCAAACUAGAGUGAUAUCUGGGAAGGGCUGGAUGAGCCUAUGAUUAGAAGAUCCCCAACAUAGCUGGAGUUACUUCAGAUAAAUCCUCGCCAUAAUAUUAUUAUUAUUUGAUAGCUGCAGAAGAUAUCAAAUUAAUUUAUUAAAUACAUAAUAUUAUUAUUUGAUAUCUGCUGAGGGCCCUUUCCCCAAGGACUAUUAUCAUUUACUAAAUGAAUUAAUAAAUAUUUUAAUUUUUUCUAGAUACCACCCACAUAAACAAAAACUUUUUGGGAGUCCUCCAGAAUUUUUAAGAGUUAUCUAAACUAUUGCCUUUAAUGACCAGGAACUCCAAUUUGAGAAGUUACCCUACGUUAAGCCAACAGCAGCCUGGCUCCUUCAUCCUGUGCAGUAUGGGACAGAGCUGGGUCCUUGUUGUCAUCAGCCAGACAAGCACACAUUAAAGCCCACCUUAGCCAUUGGCAUUACAGCUUUAAAAGCAGCUCCAUCCUACCAUGCUGUCACUCUACUCAAUCACGUGAUCUUAACGACCAGCUCUACAUAUCCUCUCUCCAUGCCCCCACCACCAUCCCCCACCAACAAAUCCGGUAAUCUAUCUCUGUCAAUAGUCCUGCAGUGAAUUCCGAAUAAGUUUUUCUCUUCCCUGGCCUGCCGUUUACGUAGUACCCUGGAUGAAUCUAUACUUACUCCAUAGUAAGUAGUACCUUGGAUGAAUCUAUACUUGCAUCCAAUGGAAAUGAGAGUGAUGGUGCAGAGUUAUCCGAAGUAACUCCAGCUAUGUUGUGGAUCUUCUAAUCAUGGGCUCAUCUAAGCCUUCCCAGAUAUCACUCUAGUUUUUACAAUCUUUGUUUAUGACAAUUAGGGCUGUAACAUUGGCUGUAGACAUUUGUUGCAUCAAGGAACUCAGCUUCCACUGAAGUUCUGAAGUUAAUCAGUUUCUGAUCUUGUUCUGCAACUCUCUGCAAGAAGAAAAAUCACCAGGAAAUAGUGCAUCCUGAAAGGAGUCAAAGUUUCCUUAUCCAGCUGGAGCAGUGUGAUCUCGGACCAGAGUCAAUUCCUUGCCCAACAGACUUCACAUUGAGCCAUGAGAAGCAGCCUACUUACCCUUACCUGGACACUUCUCCAAAACCUGUGAAAUGGCCUCUGUCACUGCCUCAAAGCCUCAUCCUUGGUGGGCAACUCACCUGGAUCCUGAGACCAAAAUAUAGAGCUUAAUGAACUGCUCCUCUGCUGUAAACCUACUAUCUUUUCACACUAAGAUGUAGAUAUUCUCGCCUUGCUCUACCCAGUGGUGAGCAAGGAUGUUAAUCUAGUUCUUACUUCCCCUGAGAGCCUCUUGCAACUUCACUGUUAAUAGAAAUCACUCUUUUAUGCUUGCAAAGCAUAUCCUUAUCCUUUGGUAUAAGGAAUUUAUACAAAGAUGCACAGGACUGGUGGGGUAACAAGAAAAGCCAUUUCCCUAACUGCCUGCUUAAUCUGGAUCCAAGUGCUGCUAAGACAAAGAAGUACAACAAAUUUAAUAGGAAACCAGAACAAAACCCUAAAACGAACGCUCAAGGUUGUUUGGGUUACAACCUCAGCUUGAGAGAUCUGCUCUGGCAUUUAUACUUCCUAAAAUAGAGAAUUUGAGUGAAUGAGGUGGCCACCAUCCAAAUGAAGUGCCUCAACUGGGAAGAGAUUCAUGCCAACCUGCUAGGGCAUGGUGUUUAGCCUUUCUUAUAUUUAGUCAAUUCAUGGGCUCAUCAUUUGGGGUGAGGUCAUCAGGAUGGUGCCACUCAAUUCACUUGGCAAGAGCCACAGCAACUGAUGUAGGAAGAAGCCUGUUGGAGUUUCUUUUACUAAAGGGCACCUGGGGGCCAAGGAUACAUGGAGUCUUCAUGAAUUAAUGAAUGAAGCCCCUCAACUGGCUCAGUAUAAUUAUUCUCAGGGGACAUCUUUAUAUUCUCUUACAGUUAAAGUCCUGGUGGGGCUAGCUUUUCAAAAUAAUGACUCCAAUUUUGAGGCAGUUCAGAGAAUUUAGUGGAUUGAUUUUUCAAUAUCUCUGUCUGUUACUGAUUAAUUUGUUGAGAGUGAAUGUAGGCAUCAGCUCUAAUUUCCUUGAACAGCUUUUAUAAGUGACUUACAUGUAUAAAGGGCAUCCUCCAAAACCAUUUUAAUUUUUAAAGAUGCCAAACAAUUUGAUAAUUAAGUUCUAUAAAUGUGGACUAGUAUUUCCCAAACUGUGCCCUCUAGGAAAUGCUUCUAGGAGAUGUUAAUAGGUACACAACAAAAAUAAGUGAAUGAAAGAAAAAUUUUCAAUCCAUUGUCAGAAAACUUUGGAAAGAAUUUGUUUACUAUAGGGGACUCUUCUUGGAGAUUUACUCUCCAAUUAGUAUAUUUAAAGACCUGAGAAGUUCCAUUGUAAAGAAAUUUGCUUUUAAUUAACCAAGCAUUUCCCAAAUUUACCUUAACACAGACAAUUUUUAAAUUUUUCCUUAUGCUUCCCCAGAUCCUAAUUUUAGGACAUAUUGAUCUAUGUAAAUUUUAAGUCAAAUGUAUAAUUUUGAAACAUGUGUAGAACUUAAAUGGAACAGGAUAGGGAAUAAGACUUACUUUAAAUCAAGUCCUCAGGAAAAACAAUUCGAGAUAAAAAACUUGUGUGGGGAAGUUUACUGGGUGGUGUUCUCAGGUUCAAUUCCUGCAAGGAAGUAAAGACAUAGCACUGGGCCGAGGGAGAAUUUGAACUGUGUUCUAGCCACAACAAAGUUCUCAUUCUGUCAUAGGGGAUCACCGAAGCCGGAAUGGGCUUUUACAUUUGUCCUGCCUUGAGGCAGCGGGGCUGGGCAUUCAUAACCCUCCUUACCAGGUUGCUUCCAGGAAGAGGUCAUGAUCCUGGGGUGGAUCAAGAACUGCUAUCUUGGGUUGAGGGUAAUUCUUGAAGAAGGAUUCAGCCAGAGUCCCCAUGUCUUAGAGAGGCCAUCAACAAUUCGGAGAUUUAGUGCCUCAUCCCUAAAGAGGGCACUGGAGGGGCUCCAUGGCAGCCUCUACUUUGUGCCACUUGGAUCCAUUUGCUUUGUAGAUUAAGUUCUGAGAACAUUUCCUCCAGGAUCUCGGUUGGUCAUUUCUCUUGGAGAAACUUACAAGAAAAAGGAAAUGGAGGAACUACAGCCUCACCACAUGCAGCUCAUAUAGAGGUUGCAAAUGACAUUCAUCAGCUCCUCCUCAAGUACCAUUCCAGAUCCCCUUGUCCACGGGUGGUAACUUUGUUGGUCCAUGUGGCUGGCCUGAUGUAGUGACCAGACUUUGAUCUCUGAGGGGCCUGAGCUUCAUAGCCACGACUGCUGCACUUCCAUUCAUUACCAAAAUUGCUCCCAUUGGGUAACGGCAGCUCUAUCUCCUCCUUAUAAUAGAGCCGGGAGGCUGGCUCCUCUCCUUGCUUACUGUUGGCACAAGGAGUCAAACGUGACCACUGACAGCCAUAGCUAACAUUUAAUGGGAGCCCUCCUGGGUUUCCUGGUGGAAGCAUUUUUUUUUGGUCUGAAAACCAGAACCUCUAAACCCAUAAAGUUGGGAGUUAUAGAAAUGGGAAACACAAAUUUCACAAGUGUGUCAGUAGUACUGAUGGGAAGUGGGGCAACUCCUAAUCGUCUCCCUUGGUUUCUGGAUUUACCUAUUGAGAACACAGAACCAUGAAAAGGCAGUUGAUUUAGAGCAGUAGCUUUCAAACUUUUGGUCUCAGGACCCCUUUACACUGUUAAAAUUAUUUUAAACAGAAGCCCAAAGCUCAUUGAGGGUGAUAACUACCAAUACUUACUGAAUUAGAAAUUAAAACUGAGGAAACUUUAAAAUACUUCAACUCAUUUGAAGAUAGGGUGGAACACACUGCAUGUUAACAGAUAUAACACCUUCAUAUAAUUAUUAUGAAGUUAGUUUUGACCUCAUGGAACCCUGGAAUCUCUCCUAAAGUGUCAGAUUGUCCCAGAAUAGGAAGGAGCAUAGUGAAGGACACUUGGCAGGUGAAUUUUACUUGCCUUGGUUUGUAAUACCUGAUUCUUAAAAGAAGCUAUGAAAUGUGUUGACGUUGUAGUGAAGUCUGGUCUACUUUAGUGGAAGUGCUUCCUUGAUUUACUCAUUAAUUCCUUUGCCAACAAAAUGAAAUGUUAUUCCUCACUUUCUGUGUAAUCUGCCUAAUAGCAAAGCUUCUUUAUGUUAGCUUUGUUACAUCCUUGAUUAUUCAAGAAAAAAGUAUCAAGUUAUAAAAGAACUUACAUAUUCUUUACAAUCAUGUUACUAUCUACAUUUAAAAAAAUGCUAUUUUGAUUAAAUAGAUAACUAAAUAUCAUUUUCAGGCACCCACAAUCAUAUGUUAAUCAAAUGUCCAAAUCUCCUCUGACAACUUUUUGAUUUUUGCCUUCUCAAAAUCAAAUCCAAAUAUAGAAACAUAUAAGUAAAAAAAGAAUAUUUCAAGAUAUCUUUUACAUCAAAAUCCAUUUUGAGAUUCCCAGAGGGUCCCUGGAAAAUUGCAAAGAUUUGUUUUUUCACUUUAUAAGAAGAGAGGUACUAGAGAUAAUUAGCGUUUUUGAUAUGUUACUAUUAUAAAGUUUCAUGGGAAAAGUUGUCAAAUCAGAAGAGACAUUCAGUUAAAUUUGGGUAUUUAAAAUAUUUUAUUAAUGUAAUGAUUUCAGAAAUUAUAUGAUUUUGGAAAGUCCCUGGAGAUUUGUCAGUGACCUCGCAUUCUAUGUUUUAACUUCUGAGGGAACGUUGACCUAAACUCUGUGGAUUUUUUCCAUAUUCACCAGAAUCUUUGUGUUGCUUUGCCUGAUGAUACUAGACAACAACUGUAUGUUAUUAGUCAUAAUUUCCAUUAUUAUUUAAAAUAUGAACUUCAUCACAGACUUAAUUCUUUAAUUUGACUUUAAUAUAUUCUAUGCCACUGAUUUUCUUUUUUUCUUUUUUUUUGAGACAGUCUCACUCUGUCGCCCAGGCUGGAGUGCAGUGGGGUGAUCUUGGCUCACUGCAAGCUCCGCCUCCCAGGUUCAAGCGAUUCUCCUAACUCAGCCUCCCUAGUAGCUGGGAUUACAGCCUGGUGCCACCACGGCCGGCUAAUUUUUGUAUUUUUAAUAGAGACAGGGUUUCACCAUGUUGGCCAGGCUGGUCUCAAACUCCUGACCUCAAGUGAUCUGCCCACCUCAGCCUCCCAAAGUGCUGGGAUUACAAGCGUGAGCCACUGCACCCGGCCUGAUUUUCAAUUGGGGAUGCACCUCAAACUUACUUACGGAGUUAUAUAAAAAUACAGAUGUCUAGGACCGAUGCCAGAUUUACUGAAUCUCUUUUUAUUCUUGAUAUUUUCUUAGUAUAUGUUUGCUGUAAUCUUAGUAUAUUAUUAUAUUAUGUCUCGGUUAUUAUAUCUCAAGGCUUUUCCUCUCUAAAAUUAUGUUCUCCUAUUUUACAAAUCAGAUGUAACAUUCACUGACUCCUCUGAAAAUAGGCCUAAUCAUUCUUCUUAGAGACAUAUUGUCUGAAAGUUUAUCUCAGAAUGGCUUUAUCAUCUUGUUAGGUGUGCCACAGAAGCACUCAAAUGUCUCUGUGGGUUACAUUAUUCUUAUUAUUAACUCUCAUUAGACCUUUACGUUGGAAAAUUAUUUUAAUAAAUUAACCACAGACAUUUUCCAUUUUCUCUAUCAUUUAAGAUACAUUUGUUUUUUGUUGUUGUUGUUUUUGUUUCUGUUUGUUGUUUUUACUAUUUACUCUGAUGCUUGCCUGAAGAUUCUGCUAUCAGCUACAGGUCUGGGUUUGUGUCUCCGACAAAGAACCACCUCAAAGCCCCACAGAAAAGGACUGUACCGUAUACUUCAAACUAUUGACACCUCAAAGAACAGAGCUUGGGUUCAGGCUUCUGAUGCAUUCUGAGACACUCUCAGACCAUACCAGUGGGCUGGGUCAGGAUUUACAGAACUAUUUUCAUUUCAAGAGCAUACGGGCUCAUGAGAUUGCUAACUCAAGAUCCGGUGGAACAGAAAUACUUAUAUCGGACUGAAUAAACUGAUGAGGAAAAUCUUAUUGCAUUUAUUGGUAGAGAAUACUAUUGAUGUUUAAAUGUUCUCUUUUCCAUAUUUAAAAGCAAACAAGCACUUUCUUUUUCUUCUUAAACUCUCUGUAAUCCGUAAUGAUUUAGUAGACUCUGCUCUUUCUUUUUGUUUUUGUUUUGCUUUGUUUUUUGAGACGUAGUCUCACUUUGUUGCCCAUCUGGGGUGCAGUGGUGGGCUCUUGGCUCACUGCAACCUCUGCCUCCCGGGUUCAAGCAAUUCUGCCUCAGCCUCCCGAGCAGCUGGGACUACAGGCACCUGCCACCAUGCUCGGCUAAUUUUUGUAUUUUUAGUAGAGACGGGGUUUCACUCUGUUGGUCAGGCUGGUCUCGAACUCCUGACCUCAAGCAAUCCACCCGCCUCGGCCUCCCAAAGUGCUGGGAUUACAAGCGUGAGCCACAGCACCUGACCUGACUCUGCUCUUUUAUACUGAAAUGUAACAUUUUAAAAUGAUAUCUGAUUCUCCCCGAUUCCUCUGAAAUCAGAAAUUCUUAAGUGUCCUCACUUUUCACAUCAAUAUGCUUGUUUGUAUAUGUUCAGUAAAAAUCUGUCUUUUAAAAAAAUCAGAAUAUAAUUAGGAAAAUCAAAUAUACAAGCAAGGCCUUUCCUGCAAUGUCACAUUUGUGAAUAAUCUCAUUUAAUGGAACUUAAUGGGGCCAAUACUUAUAAGGUCUUCCCCCAAAAAAUGGCCUGGUGCCUCAUUCACAGAGUCCCAGCCUUACAGGAGUAAAGGCUUGACUGAGGCUGAAAGCUUCACGGCAGGACGGCUCACUUCUGCCUGUUGGCCAGAGACCACAGGGCCUCUUCAUGGGCAGCCUGGGUGUCCUCAUGACGUGGCAGCUGGAAUCGCCUACAUCCACUCAUCAAGGAAGAGAAGGCAAGGAGGAAGUUGCCAUCCUUUUUAUGAGCUAGUCUAAAAGUCACACUGUCACUUCUGCCUUAUUCUAUUUGUUAGAAAUGAAUCACUAAGGCCGGGCACUUGGUAGCUCAUGCCUAUAAUCCUAGCACUUUGGAAGGCCGAGGCAGGUGGAUCAC
rnacentral:lncRNA from 10 species